UACGUAGGGUGCAAGCGUUUAAUCGGAAUUACUGGGCGUAAAGCGUGCGCAGGCGGUUGUGCAAGACCGAUGUGAAAUCCCCGGGCUUAACCUGGGAAUGGCAUUGGUGACUGCACGGCUAGAGUGUGUCAGAGGGGGGGUAGAAUUCCACGUGUAGCAGUGAAAUGCGUAGAGAUGUGGAGGAACACCGAUGGCGAAGGCAGCCUUCUGGGCCAACACUGACGCUCAUGCACGAAAGCGUGGGGAGCAAACAGG
rnacentral:rRNA from 1 species